CCUAGUAACGGCGAGUGAAGCGGGAAGAGCUCAAAUUUAAAAUCUGGCAGUGUAUUCUGUCCGAGUUGUAGUCUAGAGAAGCAUCAUCCGUGCUGGACCAUGUACAAGUCUCUUGGAACAGAGCGUCAUAGAGGGUGAGAAUCCCGUCCUUGACAUGGACUCCCAGUACUUUGUGUUGUGCUCUCAACGAGUCGAGUUGUUUGGGAAUGCAGCUCAAAAUGGGUGGUAAAUUCCAUCUAAAGCUAAAUAUUGGCGAGAGACCGAUAGCGAACAAGUACCGUGAGGGAAAGAUGAAAAGCACUUUGGAGAGAGAGUUAAACAGUACGUGAAAUUGUUGAAAUGGAAACGCUUGAAGUCAGUCGCGUUCUCUGGGAUUCAGCCUUGCUUCUGCAUGGUGCAUUUCCUAGUCUACGGGCCAGCAUGAAUUUCGGCCGGUGGAAAAAGAUUUGGGGAAUGUGGCACCCUCGGGUGUGUUAUAGCCCCUUGUCAGAUACAUUGGCUGGGAUUGAGGUCUUAGUGCACGCUUCGGUUGUGCUUUGAUGCUGGCGUAAUGGCUUUAAACGACCCGUCUUGAAACACGGACCAAGGAGUCUAACAUGUCUGCGAGUGUUUGGGUGGAAAACCCGAGCGCGAAAUGAAAGUGAUAAGUUGGGAACCUCGCAAGAGGGGCACCGACGCCCGGACCAGACCUUCUGUGACGGAUCCGAGGUAGAGCAUAUAUGUUGGGACCCGAAAGAUGGUGAACUAUGCCUGCAUAGGGUGAAGCCAGAGGAAACUCUGGUGGAGGCUCGUAGCGAUUCUGACGUGCAAAUCGAUCGUCAAAUGUGGGUAUAGG
rnacentral:rRNA from 1 species